AACGUAGGGGACAAGCGUUAUCCGGAUUUACUGGGCGUAAAGCGCCCGUAGGCGGCUUUUUAAGUUGGACGUGAAAGCUCCCGGCUUAACUGGGAGAGGCCGUUCAAAACUGAGAGGCUAGAGUGAGGAAGAGGAGAGCGGAAUUCCCGGUGUAGUGGUGGAAUGCGUAGAUAUCGGGAGGAACACCAGUGGCGAAAGCGGCUCUCUGGUCCUAAACUGACGCUGAGGGGCGAAAGCGUGGGGAGCGAAC
rnacentral:rRNA from 1 species